rnacentral:rRNA from 1 species
AAAGGAAUUGACGGGGGCCCGCACAAGCGGUGGAGCAUGUGGUUUAAUUCGACGCAACGCGAAGAACCUUACCAGGGCUUGACAUCCCGUGACGUCCAUAGAGAUAUGGAGUUUUCUUCGGAGACACGGAGACAGGUGGUGCAUGGUUGUCGUCAGCUCGUGUCGUGAGAUGUUGGGUUAAGUCCCGCAACGAGCGCAACCCCUGUUCUUAGUUGCUAGCAGGUAAAGCUUGAGCACUCUAAGAAGACUGCCGGUGACAAACCGGAGGAAGGUGGGGAUGACGUCAAAUCAUCAUGCCCCUUAUGUCCUGGGCUACACACGUGCUACAAUGGUCGGUACAGAGGGCAGCAAAGCCGUGAGGUGGAGCAAAUCCCAAAAAGCCGAUCACAGUUCGGAUUGCAGGCUGCAACUCGCCUGCAUGAAGUCGGAAUCGCUAGUAAUCGCAGGUCAGCAUACUGCGGUGAAUACGUUCCCGGGCCUUGUACACACCGCCCGU